rnacentral:rRNA from 1 species
GAUGAACGCUGGCGGCGUGCCUAAUACAUGCAAGUCGAGCGAACAGACGAGGAGCUUGCUCCUCUGACGUUAGCGGCGGACGGGUGAGUAACACGUGGAUAACCUACCUAUAAGACUGGGAUAACUUCGGGAAACCGGAGCUAAUAACGGAUAAUAUAUUGAACCGCAUGGUUCAAUAGUGAAAGACGGUUUUGCUGUUACUUAUAGAUGGUUUCGCGCCGCAUUAGCUAGUUGGUAAGGUAACGGCUUACCAAGGCGACGAUGCGUAGCCGACCUGAGAGGGUGAUCAGCCACACUGGAACUGAGACACGGUCCAGACUCCUACGGGAGGCAGCAGUAGGGAAUCUUCCGCAAUGGGCGAAAGCCUGACGGAGCAACGCCGCGUGAGUGAUGAAGGUCUUCGGAUCGUAAAACUCUUUUAUUAGGGAAGAACAAAUGUGUAAGUAACUAUGCACGUCUUGACGGUACCUAAUCAGAAAGCCACGGCUAACUACGUG